AACAAACGCUGGCGGCGUGCCUAAUACAUGCAAGUCGAACGGGUAGCAAUACCAGUGGCGCACGGGUGAGGAAUACAUAGAUAAUCUGCCUUCGAGUCGGGGAUAACCAGUCGAAAGAUUGGCUAAUACCGGAUAAGACCACAAGAUCUGCGGAUCUAGGGGUUAAAGGUUUUUCGCUUGAAGAUGAGUCUAUGCGAGAUUAGCUAGUUGGUGAGGUAAUGGCUCACCAAGGCGACGAUCUCUAACUGGUCUUAGAGGAUGAUCAGUCACACUGGAACUGAGACACGGUCCAGACUCCUACGGGAGGCAGCAGUAGGGAAUAUUGCGCAAUGGGGGAAACCCUGACGCAGCGACGCCGCGUGAGUGAUGAAGGCCUUCGGGUCGUAAAGCUCUGUCGUAUGGGAAUAACACAAUGAAUGUACCAUGCAAGAAAGGAUCGGCUAACUUCGUGCCAGCAGCCGCCGUAA
rnacentral:rRNA from 1 species